AACGAACGCUGGCGGCAGGCCUAACACAUGCAAGUCGAGCGAGGACUUCGGUUCUAGCGGCGGACGGGUGAGUAACGCGUGGGAAUGUGCCCUUCUCUACGGAAUAGCCCUGGGAAACUGGGAGUAAUACCGUAUACGCCCUUUUGGGGAAAGAUUUAUCGGAGAAGGAUCAGCCCGCGUUGGAUUAGGUAGUUGGUGGGGUAAUGGCCUACCAAGCCGACGAUCCAUAGCUGGUUUGAGAGGAUGAUCAGCCACACUGGGACUGAGACACGGCCCAGACUCCUACGGGAGGCAGCAGUGGGGAAUCUAAGACAAUGGGGGCAACCCUGAUCUAGCCAUGCCGCGUGAGUGAUGAAGGCCUUAGGGUUGUAAAGCUCUUUCAGCUGGGAAGAUAAUGACGGUACCAGCAGAAGAAGCCCCGGCUAACUCCGUG
rnacentral:rRNA from 1 species